rnacentral:rRNA from 1 species
UACGGCUCAGUAACACGUAGUCAACCUACCCUAUGGACGGGGAUAACCUCGGGAAACUGAGAAUAAUACCCGAUAGAACACUAUACCUGGAAUGGUUUGUGUUCCAAAUAAUUUAUUGCCGUAGGAUGGGACUGCGGCCUAUCAGUUUGUUGGUGAGGUAAUGGCCCACCAAGACUAUUACAGGUACGGGCUCUGAGAGGAGUGGCCCGGAGAUGGGUACUGAGACACGGACCCAGGCCCUAUGGGGCGCAGCAGGCGAGAAAACUUUGCAAUGUGCGAAAGCACGACAAGGUUAAUCCGAGUGGUUUCUGCUAAAGAAACCUUUUGACAGUCCUAGAAACACUGUUGAAUAAGGGGUGGGCAAGUUCUGGUGUCAGCCGCCGCGGUAAAACCAGCACCUCAAGUGGUCAGGAUGAUUAUUGGGCCUAAAGCAUCCGUAGCCGGCUCUGUAAGUUUUCGGUUAAAUCUGUACGCUCAACGUACAGGCUGCUGGGAAUACUGCAGAACUAGGGAGUGGGAGAGAUAGACGGUACUCGGGAGGAAGUGGUAAAAUGCUUUGAUAUCUCGAUGACCACCUGUGGCGAAGGCGGUCUAUCAGAACACGUCCGACGGUGAGGGAUGUAAGCUGGGGGAGCAAACCGGAUUAGAUACCCGGGUAGUCCCAGCUGUAAACUAUGCAAACUCAAUGAUGCAUUGACUUAUGGUCAAUGCAGUGUUGCAGGGAAGCCGUUAAGUUUGCCGCCUGGGAAGUACGUACGCAAGUAUGAAACUUAAAGGAAUUGGCGGA